rnacentral:rRNA from 1 species
CAGUAGCCGCGGGAAUACGAAGGGGGCUAGCGUUGUUCGGAUUUACUGGGCGUAAAGCGCACGUAGGCGGAUCGAUCAGUCAGGGGUGAAAUCCCAGAGCUCAACUCUGGAACUGCCUUUGAUACUGUCGAUCUGGAGUAUGGAAGAGGUGAGUGGAAUUCCGAGUGUAGAGGUGAAAUUCGUAGAUAUUCGGAGGAACACCAGUGGCGAAGGCGGCUCACUGGUCCAUUACUGACGCUGAGGUGCGAAAGCGUGGGGAGCAAACAGGAUUAGAUACCCGUGUAGUCCCUGUCUCUUAUAC